UAGGGAAUCUUCCACAAUGGACGCAAGUCUGAUGGAGCAACGCCGCGUGAGUGAAGAAGGUUUUCGGACCGUAAAGCUCUGUUGUUGGUGAAGAAGGAUAGAGGUAGUAACUGGCCUUUAUUUGACGGUAAUCAACCAGAAAGUCACGGCUAACUACGUGCCAGCAGCCGCGGUAAUACGUAGGUGGCAAGCGUUGUCCGGAUUUAUUGGGCGUAAAGCGAGCGCAGGCGGAAGAAUAAGUCUGAUGUGAAAGCCCUCGGCUUAACCGAGGAAUUGCAUCGGAAACUGUUUUCUUGAGUGCAGAAGAGGAGAGUAGAACUCCAUGUGUAGCGGUGGAAUGCGUAGAUAUAUGGAAGAAUACCAGUGGCGAAGGCGGCUCUCUGGUCUGCAACUGACGCUGAGGCUCGAAAGCAUGGGUAGCGAACAGGAUUAGAUACCCUGGUAGUCCAUGCCGUAAACGAUGAGUGCUAAGUGUUGGGAGGCUUCCGCCUCUCAGUGCUGCAGCUAACGCAUUAAGCACUCCGCCUGGGGGAGUACGGCCGCAAGGUUGAAAC
rnacentral:rRNA from 1 species